UACGUAGGGUGCGAGCGUUGUCCGGAAUUACUGGGCGUAAAGAGCUCGUAGGUGGUUUGUCGCGUUGUUCGUGAAAUCUCACGGCUUAACUGUGAGCGUGCGGGCGAUACGGGCAGACUAGAGUACUGCAGGGGAGACUGGAAUUCCUGGUGUAGCGGUGGAAUGCGCAGAUAUCAGGAGGAACACCGGUGGCGAAGGCAGGUCUCUGGGCCACUACUGACGCUGAGAAGCGAAAGCGUGGGGAGCAAACAGG
rnacentral:rRNA from 1 species